rnacentral:rRNA from 1 species
CCUACGGGAGGCAGCAGUGGGGAAUAUUGGGCAAUGGGCGCAAGCCUGACCCAGUAACGCCGCGUGAAGGAAGAAGGCUUUCGGGUUGUAAACUUCUUUUCUGAGGGACGAAGAAAGUGACGGUACCUCAGGAAAAAGCCUCGGCUAACGACGUGCCAGCAGCCGCGGUAAUACGUUGGUGGCAAGCGUUAUCCGGAUUUAUUGGGUGUAAAGGGCGGGUAGGGGGGAAAGCAAGUCAGAUGUGAAAACUCAGGGCUCAAACCUGAGCCUGCAUUUGAAACUGUUUUUCUUGAGUGCUGGAGGGGCGAUCGGAAUUCCGUGUGUAGCGGUGAAAUGCGUAGAUAUACGGAGGAACACCAGUGGCGAAGGCGGAUUGCUGGACAGUAACUGACGCUGAGGCGCGAAAGCGUGGGGAGCAAACAGGAUUAGAUACCCCGGUAGUC